rnacentral:rRNA from 1 species
UGGGGAAUUUUCCGCAAUGGGCGCAAGCCUGACGGAGCAACGCCGCGUGCGGGACGAAGGCCUGUGGGUUGUAAACCGCUUUUAACAGGGAUGAAUAACUGACGGUACCUGUUGAAUCAGCAUCGGCUAACUCCGUGCCAGCAGCCCCGGUAAGACGGAGGAUGCAAGCGUUAUCCGGAAUUAUUGGGCGUAAAGCGUCCGCAGGUGGCCAAGCAAGUCCGCCGUUAAAGCCCAGGGCUCAACCCUGGAUUAGCGGUAGAAACUGUUUAGCUAGAGUACGGUAAGGGCAGAGGGAAUUCCCAGUGUAGCGGUGAAAUGCGUAGAUAUUGGGAAGAACACCGGUGGCUAAGGCGCUCUGCUGGGCCGAAACUGACACUCAUGGACGAAAGCUAGGGGAGCGAAAGGGAUUAGAUACCCCGGUAGUCC